ACAAGCGGUGAGUGCUUUGGGGUGGGGUGACUGCGUACCUUUUGUAUAAUGGGUCAGCGACUUAUAUUCUGUAGCAAGGUUAACCGUAUAGGGGAGCCGAAGGGAAACCGAGUCUUAACUGGGCGUUAAGUUGCAGGGUAUAGACCCGAAACCCGGUGAUCUAGCCAUGGGCAGGUUGAAGGUUGGGUAACACUAACUGGAGGACCGAACCGACUAAUGUUGAAAAAUUAGCGGAUGACUUGUGGCUGGGGGUGAAAGGCCAAUCAAACCGGGAGAUAGCUGGUUCUCCCCGAAAGCUAUUUAGGUAGCGCCUCGUGAACUCAUCUUCGGGGGUAGAGCACUGUUUCGGCUAGGGGGUCAUCCCGACUUACCAACCCGAUGCAAACUGCGAAUACCGAAGAAUGUUAUCACGGGAGACACACGGCGGGUGCUAACGUCCGUCGUGAAGAGGGAAACAACCCAGACCGCCAGCUAAGGUCCCAAAGUCACAGUUAAGUGGGAAACGAUGUGGGAAGGCUCAGACAGCCAGGAUGUUGGCUUAGAAGCAGCCAUCAUUUAAAGAAAGCGUAAUAGCUCACUGGUCGAGUCGGCCUGCGCGGAAGAUGUAACGGGGCUAAACUGUGCACCGAAGCUGCGGCAGCGACGCUUAUGCGUUGUUGGGUAGGGGAGCGUUCUGUAAGCCUGCGAAGGUGUCCUGUGAGGGAUGCUGGAGGUAUCAGAAGUGCGAAUGCUGACAUAAGUAACGAUAAUGCGGGUGAAAAGCCCGCUCGCCGGAAGACCAAGGGUUCCUGUCCAACGUUAAUCGGGGCAGGGUGAGUCGACCCCUAAGGCGAGGCCGAAAGGCGUAGUCGAUGGGAAACGGGUUAAUAUUCCCGUACUUGGUGUUACUGCGAAGGGGGGACGGAGAAGGCUAUGUUGGCCGGGCGACGGUUGUCCCGGUUUAAGCGUGUAGGCUGGUUUUCCAGGCAAAUCCGGAAAAUCAAGGCUGAGGCGUGAUGACGAGGCACU
rnacentral:rRNA from 1 species